rnacentral:rRNA from 1 species
CCUACGGGGGGCAGCAGUGGGGAAUAUUGGACAAUGGGGGCAACCCUGAUCCAGCAAUGCCGCGUGAGUGAAGAAGGCCUUCGGGUUGUAAAGCUCUUUUACCCGGGAAGAUAAUGACUGUACCGGGAGAAUAAGCCCCGGCUAACUCCGUGCCAGCAGCCGCGGUAAUACGGAGGGGGCUAGCGUUGUUCGGAAUUACUGGGCGUAAAGCGCGCGUAGGCGGCUUUUCAAGUCAGGGGUGAAAUCCCGGGGCUCAACCUCGGCAUUGCCCUUGAGACUGGAAGGCUUGAACACGGGAGAGGUGAGUGGAAUUCCGAGUGUAGAGGUGAAAUUCGUAGAUAUUCGGAAGAACACCAGUGGCGAAGGCGGCUCACUGGACCGUUGUUGACGCUGAGGUGCGAAAGCGUGGGGAGCAAACAGGAUUAGAUACCCUUGUAGUC